UCACAGGUGUAAUGGUUAGCACGUCGGAUUUUGAUUCCGGAGAUAUUGGUUCGAUUCCUAUAUGAA
rnacentral:tRNA from 1 species